ensembl:lncRNA
AGAACAUGAUGCUUUCAAAGGUAGGUUGUUUUCAUGGCAUUCAACCUACACCUGCCCCAUCUCACUGCUUCAGUAUAAAAAGACAUUUAACCCCCUCAGUAGGAGGGGCUUGCUGCAGGUAUUUCAGCUGGUAGAUGUUUAAGAAAAGAUCAAACCACUAGAGAGAAGUGUUUUUAAGAAUCAAAGAGAAGCUAUCAAGAGGAAGAGAAGACACAAACCAGAAAAACUGGUGCUAUGAAGUGGCUGGAGAUUUUUGUAUUACUGGGCAUGUGCUCACAGGCUGCAGCCCAAUCAGAUUUUAAAGUGUCUGUGUUCUCUGCAACAUCAAAGACUG